CCUACGGGAGGCAGCAGUGAGGAAUAUUGGUCAAUGGGCGGGAGCCUGAACCAGCCAAGUCGCGUGAGGGACGACGGUCCUAUGGAUUGUAAACCUCUUUUGUCGGGGAACAAAGGCGCCCACGGGUGGGCGGAUGAGUGUACCCGAAGAAAAAGCAUCGGCUAACUCCGUGCCAGCAGCCGCGGUAAUACGGAGGAUGCGAGCGUUAUCCGGAUUUAUUGGGUUUAAAGGGUGCGUAGGCGGACAGUCAAGUCAGCGGUAAAAAUGCGGUGCUCAACGCCGUACAGCCGUUGAAACUGGCAGUCUUGAGUGGGCGAGAAGUAUGCGGAAUGCGUGGUGUAGCGGUGAAAUGCAUAGAUAUCACGCAGAACUCCGAUUGCGAAGGCGGCCUGCUGGACUGCAACUGACGUUGAGGCCCGAAAGCGUGGGGAGCAAACAGGAUUAGAUACCCGUGUAGUC
rnacentral:rRNA from 1 species